CCUCAGACGUCGCAGGAUCGUAUACUAAAUCGAUUUCAAGGUGGGCGACAAAAUUUUGUCACGAUCCUCGCAACAAAAUUUUGAAAGACCGUCCGGAUGGGACACUCCACCUGGUUUAAUCAUUUGCUUCUCGCGGCAUGUUCGCUGAGCGUCUUUGCUGUCUCCGCGGAACAACAGAAGCUACAGGUGGCACGACGGCGAUACUGUUAUGCGUCGCGGAGGAACGUUUCUGUGCAACUCUUUGCAUUUGUCGUUCAGGGGAUCCCAUCCUUUAAUUUUCUGGUGUGUCUCCCGCUUCAGCAUACAACCUGUUUGAUGUUCGUUGUGCACGUACAACGACUAUGAACACAAGCUGCAUGAAGAUAUUCAAUUUCCAGUUUAUGGCAAUAAGAGUGGCAGGCACACCCGGCGGCACCUUACCCUAAGCCGGUGUAUUGUAUAAAAAUGCGCAAGAGGCUAACUCAUGGACAGGAGCAUUGCCGCUUUCGAACGGCAGGUACACAGAUUCUCACCGUUCCUUGGAUGCCCGAGGCGGGCUUGGCUCGGGGCAUGCGGUGCUGUUCUUCGCUGCUGGAGCAAGUAAGUUAGAUUUUGCUGGCGCUUGUGGAACGCCUAGUACACGGAACAGGUGUAGACAGACUCGCCGCCUCAACGGUCAUCGAAUGGGUUAGCUUGGCGCCUCGCGAAGCAUGGAAGAAUCUACUCACAGGCUAUGGUGGCCCCCUUGGUCAAAUGAGGCAAAGACGACAAAUACAUCAGGUGAACCAGUCCAACAAAACGCCUUCACUGGUUCAGUUCAGUUCGGUACCACACUUCCUCCGCACCAGUUUCUACCCUCGUGUUUCGGGCACCUUUUUCUGUUCGAGUAAACAGCUUCUGAGCACGUGAAGAUAGCUCUGAAUAUGUACUGACACUGAUGAGCAACCAUCUCUCCUGCUCACAUCUGUGUAGACGUCUCAAAUUCCCGUCAUCUAGUCAUAUCGAACGUCCUGUUUCCUCAUCAUCGAGUUUGGUGAAGUAAUAGUUAGCGGUUCCAACUGAAAGUAUAUGCUACGUUAAAUAACCACAUCGUGAACCUCCAUUGUCCUCUGGUGUUGACC
rnacentral:lncRNA from 1 species